rnacentral:rRNA from 1 species
UACGAAGGGGGGCUAGCGUUGCUCGGAAUGACUGGGCGUAAAGGGCGCGUAGGCGGCUCAUACAGUCAGGCGUGAAAUUCCUGGGCUCAACCUGGGGGACUGCGCUUGAGACGUGUGGGCUUGAGUGGGGAAGAGGGUCGUGGAAUUCCCAGUGUAGAGGUGAAAUUCGUAGAUAUUGGGAAGAACACCAGUGGCGAAGGCGGCUCACUGGACCGGUAUUGACGCUGAGGUGCGAAAGCGUGGGGAGCAAACAGG